GGCCUCAUCCCCAUGACUGCCCCGAAGCAGGGCCCGGAUUCUCGUCCCCAUCUCUCAGAUAAGGAGACAGAGGCUCCAGGAGCUGAAUGGGGUAUCAGCUCGACCAACAGCUCCUCCUCACCCCCGCAGCCUGGAAACAGCAGUGUCCGGGUUGCUCUCCGGAGGCCAGAGCUCCAAGCCUCGGGCCGGUCUGGCUCGUCUCGGCCGCGUUCAGACGUCAGUCUGUGCAGCCACCUCUCUGGGGUCAAGUUCUUUAACAUCUGAUCCCGCGGAGAUUAUUAUAUCCGAUGGCCGCGGAGACUAGUGAACGGCUGGAAUCCAGGUAGCCGGACCCAGGAGUGGCUGGGGGCCACGGCCAGCCCGAAGCAGGAGGGCGAGAGGCAGCCGGGGCUUGAAGCGCAGGAAGGUCCCUUCCUCCUGAGCCCCACUGGCCUUGCCCUUGAGUUUCCCUGCCUUGAGGCAGGGCCUGGAUCGGGGCGGGGAGUCCCACAGCAAGAGGGAGCAGGGCUAUUGGAUCCCUGGGGGGCUCCUGCCCAAGUCCUCCUUCAUUUCCUGGAUUCCAGGAAGGCUCGGGGUGGGGGCUGGGGGCAGUAGGCAAGCCCCGAGCAGGGGUGUGCCCAUCCUGCGGCCCGGCCGGCCCUUCCGGUGCUGUGGCCAGCCCUACGCGCGGCCAGCCAGAGCCUCUGGGAGCCUCCGGGAGCUGCAGCCCUGGGCCGGAGGCCAGGAAGGCCCGAAGGCUGGAAGAAGAGAGAGGAGGCAAGGCCCAGGUCUGGCUGGGGAAGAACCAGGACCAAAGGCAGAAAAAAAUCAGGACAUGUCCUUACCACCUACAGCUCAUUGACAAGUCCUUGAAGCAGGCCGAGUGAUAUUCCUCCAGGAACUCAGCUGCCUCAAUGCUGAUACUUUCUAAGGACAAAAGGGAACAUUAGCCCAACCCCCAGGACCCUCCACUCCGGCCGUGACCCCGUGCCUACCUUUCAGCCCUUCCCGGUGGGCGAGCUGUCAACUCACCAGACUCCAGAGGUCCCCCCAGUUGCCAAGUCUGGGGAGCAGGGGCGCGGUGAGCUAAGAGGGUACAGAGGGGGGGGCCCUGCGAGUAAAUCCCUGGGAGAGCGAGCACCCUGCCUCCCAAGUGGGCCUCUCUGGGUCCGCCGCCCCUGCCAGCCAGCAGCGCCCGAAUGCGGAGCCACUACCAGGGCAGGAGGUCAUGCUGCUGCUGGGGCUCCCGGCCUCAGCGAGGAUGAGGCAGAGACGGCCUCUCACGCAGGGCCCCAGCUUCUGGUGGAUCUGCCCAGAGCCGGCACACCUCUGGGCACUCUGCGAAGCCCCCGACCCCAUGCGGGGGCAGUGCAGGGAGGGGUGUGAGGACACAGCGCAGACCACCAGGCCGCUUCCAAGCAAGUCUUCUACAAGUGGCAGAAGAAUAAAAGUAAUAUAACAGGAAAAGUAGAAGGCUAACGUAAUACGGGUGAAGUCCCAUCUCCCGUGGGAGGAGUGCGUGCACGGUGCCUAAAAUCGGGCGAGUGGGAGACUAGAGACAGACACUGCGUGUGGAGCCCCGGGUCAGCAGUGAGCAGCACCAAGUUCAAGGAGCCUGAAGACCAGCCCCAGGAGACCCUGGGGAGGGCACGGAUGGGGGAGGGGUGGAUGGGCACCGCACUGCAGGCUGCAGCAUCACAGGCACCUCGGUGUUAUUGGAUUUCUCGCUGUGAGCCC